rnacentral:tRNA from 1 species
UCCCAUAUGGUCUAGCGGUCAGGAUUCCUGGUUUUCACCCAGGCAGCCUGGGUUCAAUACCCGGUAUGGGAA